rnacentral:rRNA from 1 species
AGCAGCCGCGGUAAUUCCAGCUCCAAUAGCGUAUAUUAAAGUUGUUGCAGUUAAAAAGCUCGUAGUUGAAUUUCGGGAUCAAUAUGUUGGUCGUGCCUUGGGUACGUACUAGUUUAUUGGUUUCUUCCUUCUGGCGAACCAUGAUGUCAUUAAUUUGGUGUCUUGGGGAAUCAGGACUGUUACUUUGAAAAAAUUAGAGUGUUUAAAGCAGGCUCACGCUUGAAUACAUUAGCAUGGAAUAAUGAAAUAGGACGUUUGAUUCUAUUUUGUUGGUUUCUAGGAUCGACGUAAUGAUUAAUAGGGAUAGUUGGGGGCAUUAGUAUUCAAUUGUCAGAGGUGAAAUUCUUGGAUUUAUUGAAGACUAACUACUGCGAAAGCAUUUGCCAGGAUGUUUUCAUUAAUCAAGAACGAAAGUUAGGGGAUCGAAGACGAUCAGAUACCGUCGUAGUCUUAACCNUAAACUAUGCCGACUAGGGAUCGGAUGAUGUUAAUUUUUUAAUGACUCAUUCGGCGCCUUAAC